UACAGAGGUCUCAAGCGUUGUUCGGAUUCAUUGGGCGUAAAGGGUGCGUAGGCGGCGCGGUAAGUCGGGUGUGAAAUCUCGGAGCUUAACUCCGAAACUGCAUUCGAUACUGCCGUGGUUGAGGACUGGAGAGGAGACUGGAAUUUACGGUGUAGCGGUGAAAUGCGUAGAUAUCGUAAGGAAGACCAGUGGCGAAGGCGGGUCUCUGGACAGUUCCUGACGCUGAGGCACGAAGGUCAGGGGAGCAAACGGG
rnacentral:rRNA from 1 species